rnacentral:rRNA from 1 species
GAUGAACGCUGGCGGCGUGCCUAAUACAUGCAAGUCGAGCGGACCAAAGAGAGCUUGCUCUCUGAGGUUAGCGGCGGACGGGUGAGUAACACGUGGGUAACCUGCCUGUAAGACGGGGAUAACUUCGGGAAACCGAAGCUAAUACCGGAUGAUAAAGAGAAACGCCUGUUUCUUUUUUGAAAGUCGGCCUUGUGCUGACGCUUACAGAUGGGCCCGCGGCGCAUUAGCUAGUUGGUGAGGUAACGGCUCACCAAGGCGACGAUGCGUAGCCGACCUGGGAGGGUGAUCGGCCAAACGGGGACUGAGACACGGCCCAGACUCCUACGGGAGGCAGCAGUAGGGAAUCUUCGGCAAUGGACGAAAGUCUGACCGAGCAACGCCGCGUGAGCGAUGAAGGCCUUCGGGUCGUAAAGCUCUGUUGUCAGAGAAGAACAAGUACCGGAGUAACUGCCGGUACCUUGACGGUACCUGACCAGAAAGCCACGGCUAACUACGUGCCAGCAGCCGCAGUAACAC